rnacentral:rRNA from 1 species
UACGAAGGGGGCUAGCGUUGCUCGGAAUCACUGGGCGUAAAGGGUGCGUAGGCGGGUCUUUAAGUCAGGGGGGAAAUCCUGGAGCUCAACUCCAGAACUGCCUUUGAUACUGAGGAUCUUGAGUUCGGGAGAGGUGAGUGGAACUGCGAGUGUAGAGGUGAAAUUCGUAGAUAUUCGCAAGAACACCAGUGGCGAAGGCGGCUCACUGGCCCGAUACUGACGCUGUGGCGCGAAAGCUAGGGGAGCAAACGGG